rnacentral:rRNA from 1 species
AGUGAACGCUGGCGGUAGGCCUAACACGUGCAAGUCGAACGGCAGCACAGUAAGAGCUUGCUCUUACGGGUGGCGAGUGGCGGACGGGUGAGGAAUACAUCGGAAUCUACUUUUUCGUGGGGGAUAACGUAGGGAAACUUACGCUAAUACCGCAUACGACCUACGGGUGAAAGCAGGGGAUCUUCGGACCUUGCGCGAUUGAAUGAGCCGAUGUCGGAUUAGCUAGUUGGCGGGGUAAAGGCCCACCAAGGCGACGAUCCGUAGCUGGUCUGAGAGGAUGAUCAGCCACACUGGAACUGAGACACGGUCCAGACUCCUACGGGAGGCAGCAGUGGGGAAUAUUGGACAAUGGGCGCAAGCCUGAUCCAGCCAUACCGCGUGGGUGAAGAAGGCCUUCGGGUUGUAAAGCCCUUUUGUUGGGAAAGAAAAGCAGCAGGUUAAUACCCCGCUGUUCUGACGGUACCCAAAGAAUAAGCUCCGGCUAACUUCGUG